rnacentral:lncRNA from 1 species
AUCAUUCCUUGAAUUUUAGGCCAGAAUUCCAUCAUUUUCCCGCCAGAAUUCCCAGAUUUUUUUGGGAAUUCUCACUUGUAGAGCAGGUGCACGCAGCUCCCCUCGAUUUUUCACCUAAAUUCCAAGAUUUUUCCUCGAAAAUUCCAGGAUUUUCCCACCUAAAUUCUGGGAUUUUUCUGCCUGAAUUCCAUGAAUUUUCUGGCAUAAAUUCCAUUAGUUUUUCAUGCAAAUUCUGGGAUUUUUCUACCGUAAUUCCAGGAUUUUCCUGUCCAACUUCUGGGAUUUUUCAUGUGUAAAUUCCAUUCUUUUACCCCAUAAAUUCCAUUAUUUUAUCCCAUAAAUUCCAUUAUUUUACCCCCAAAAAUUCUGGGAUUUUUUCCACCAUAAUUCCAGGAUUUUCCCAUAUAAAUC